rnacentral:rRNA from 1 species
AGAAUUCGCCCUUAGAGUUUGAUCCUGGCUCAGGAUGAACGCUGGCGGUAUGCUUAACACAUGCAAGUCGAACGGUGUCUUCGGACAUAGUGGCGGACGGGUGAGUAACGCGUGAGAAUCUGGCUUCAGGUCGGGGACAACCACUGGAAACGGUGGCUAAUACCGGAUAUGCCGAGAGGUGAAAGAUUAAUUGCCUGAAGAUGAGCUCGCGUCUGAUUAGCUAGUUGGGAGUGUAAGAGACUACCAAGGCGACGAUCAGUAGCUGGUCUGAGAGGAUGAUCAGCCACACUGGGACUGAGACACGGCCCAGACUCCUACGGGAGGCAGCAGUGGGGAAUUUUCCGCAAUGGGCGAAAGCCUGACGGAGCAAUACCGCGUGAGGGAGGAAGGCUCUUGGGUUGUAAACCUCUUUUCUCAAGGAAGAAAAAAAUGACGGUACUUGAGGAAUAAGCAUCGGCUAACUCCGUGCCAGCAGCCGCGGUAAUACGGAGGAUGCAAGCGUUAUCCGGAAUGAUUGGGCGUAAAGCGUCCGCAGGUGGCUGUGAAAGUCUGCUGUUAAAGAAUGAGGCUCAACCUCAUCAGAGCAGUGGAAACUACACGGCUAGAGUGCGUUCGGGGUAGAGGGAAUUCCUGGUGUAGCGGUGAAAUGCGUAGAUAUCAGGAAGAACACCGGUGGCGAAGGCGCUCUACUAGGCCGCAACUGACACUGAGGGACGAAAGCUAGGGGAGCGAAUGGGAUUAGAUACCCCAGUAGUCCUAGCCGUAAACGAUGGAUACUAGGCGUGGCUUGUAUCGACCCGAGCCGUGCCGUAGCUAACGCGUUAAGUAUCCCGCCUGGGGAGUACGCACGCAAGUGUGAAACUCAAAGGAAUUGACGGGGGCCCGCACAAGCGGUGGAGUAUGUGGUUUAAUUCGAUGCAACGCGGAGAACCUUACCAAGACUUGACAUGUCGCGAACUUCGGUGAAAGCUGAAGGUGCCUUCGGGAGCGCGAACACAGGUGGUGCGUGGCUGUCGUCAGCUCGUGUCGUGAGAUGUUGGGUUAAGUCCCGCAACGAGCGCAACCCUCGUUUUUAGUUGCCAGCAUUAAGUUGGGCACUCUAAAGAGACUGCCGGUGACAAACCGGAGGAAGGUGGGGAUGACGUCAAGUCAGCAUGCCCCUUACGUCUUGGGCUACACACGUACUACAAUGCUACGGACAAAGGGCAGGUACACAGCGAUGUGAUGCAAAUCUCAGAAACCGUAGCUCAGUUCAGAUCGCAGGCUGCAACUCGCCUGCGUGAAGGAGGAAUCGCUAGUAAUUGCAGGUCAGCAUACUGCAGUGAAUUCGUUCCCGGGCCUUGUACACACCGCCCGUCACACCAUGGAAGCUGGCAACGCCCGAAGUCAUUACUCCAACUUUUCGGAGAGGAGGAUGCCUAAGGCAGUGCUGGUGACUGGGGUGAAGUCGUAACAAGGUAACCAAGGGCGAAUUC